rnacentral:rRNA from 1 species
AUUGAACGCUGGCGGCAUGCUUUACACAUGCAAGUCGAACGGUAACAGGUGCUUGCACCGCUGACGAGUGGCGAACGGGUGAGUAAUGCAUCGGAAUGUACCGUGUAAUGGGGGAUAGCUCGGCGAAAGCCGGAUUAAUACCGCAUACGCCCUGAGGGGGAAAGUGGGGGACCGAAAGGCCUCACGUUAUACGAGCAGCCGAUGUCUGAUUAGCUAGUUGGUGAGGUAAAGGCUCACCAAGGCGUCGAUCAGUAGCGGGUCUGAGAGGAUGAUCCGCCACACUGGGACUGAGACACGGCCCAGACUCCUACGGGAGGCAGCAGUGGGGAAUUUUGGACAA